GCCGGCGGCCGAUGCCGCCCAGCUCAUUCGCAGAAGAAGCUGCAGUACAUUAAAAUGUAUCGCGUGUGAGAAGUGUUCGCGGAUGCUAUUAAUGUGCUGUUUACAGGUGACAGUAAACAAGAACAUGUAUGCAUGCGUUGCAACACACUGCCCUGAAAGGAUAAGGUGUGGAUUUACGCAACCCCCGGAGAGACGUCUAGGUUGAUAAAGCCAAUCUUUUUGCAUUUGGAUUUAUAUGUGUAUACACACGCUUUACACACACUUCUGGACAUAUGAACACUUGAUAAAUUAACCCCCAAGUCAUGAGAAUAAACAUGAUGUUCCCCAACAAGCAAGCCAAAGUCUACUCUCAGUUGCAAGGUAGUAAUACUGAAAUAGACCAACCCAAGACUGAGACGGUGCAAUAUCAGGAGAACAUCUGGUGAAAGGAGGCGUUACAAAAUAAAAUUGCCUGGUUGCCAGAGUUACGCAGCAACCUCCCAGAACAACCACCAGUAGUCGUACCAGUGGCAGAUAUCCAAGCAAGAGGGCAAGAACUGGAUAGCCUUCAGGACCCAACAGGGCCGGAAUGAACCAACUUUGAGUCAAAGAUGGAGGCAAGUGAUGUGAAAAAAAUGUUUUAGAAAGCCAACCAUCACUGCAGCCCUUGACCAGAAUGGCCCGAUGGAAGACUCUCCAAGACACGGCAGGCAAGAUAUAUGGAUGUCUGCAUAGAGUUUGCUCGGGGAGGGUCUGCACGACUCC